GACGAACGCUGGCGGCGUGCUUAACACAUGCAAGUCGAACGGAAAGGCCCUGCUUUUGUGGGGUGCUCGAGUGGCGAACGGGUGAGUAACACGUGAGUAACCUGCCCUUGACUUUGGGAUAACUUCAGGAAACUGGGGCUAAUACCGGAUAGGAGCUCCUGCUGCAUGGUGGGGGUUGGAAAGUUUCGGCGGUUGGGGAUGGACUCGCGGCUUAUCGGCUUGUUGGUGGGGUAGUGGCUUACCAAGGCUUUGACGGGUAGCCGGCCUGAGAGGGUGACCGGCCACAUUGGGACUGAGAUACGGCCCAGACUCCUACGGGAGGCAUCAGUGGGGAAUAUUGCACAAUGGGCGGAAGCCUGAUGCAGCAACGCCGCGUGCGGGAUGACGGACUUCGGGUUGUAAACCGCUUUCGCCUGUGACGAAGCGUGAGUGACGGUAAUGGGUAAAGAAGCAACGGCUAACUACGUG
rnacentral:rRNA from 1 species